rnacentral:lncRNA from 1 species
GACCGUGGAUUUUGGAUGAUCGGGAAGUGUUGGAACUAUGUAGCUUUUUCUAUAUAACUGUCUGAAACACUUAUUCCCCCCUACCUCCGUCGUCUCUUUCAGAGAUUCCCACCCCCGAAACCCUAGCCCCAACCGCCUCCUUUUCCCCAUCUGAAACUGGCGGUUCCAUCACCAAACCACACCUAAAUCACACCUUGGCAUCGUCUCAUCCUUAUCAAGCCAAAUCCACAUCUCUUCUCUUCCGAAUCAGCCUCAAAAGCUUUGAAUCUAGAUUUGAAGUCGAAGAACCCUAGCUGCAGCCGUUGAAUUCUAGUGGCGGCGCCGCCUUUUCUUCCCAUCCAAAUGAACACCAGGUGACCGUGUUACUUCCCUCGUGGUAAAUUCCACGCCAAGAAGACCUCAUGAAUCUCAGUACAGCAUUGGGGGUCCUUUGGAUUUAGAGUUCAUUCGGGCCGGCCUUUUGAAAACUUUCAAGGUCAAGUGCUUUUGUAGUGAGUAUUCUAGUUAAUUCAUCUGUUUUCUGUUUCUUUUUCAUCCGCCUUAAUUAGUGAGGUCAUUUUGCAUGCCAAGUUUUUAAUUUGAUCAAUUUGUAGUUUAAUUCCCGGAUAUUUUAAUUGAUAGAUUAAUUUCGAUAGAGUUUCGUCUCGUUACUUUUAGCAAAUUCUGAGUCGAGUUCUUCUCUUCUUAACUCAAAGAUUCAAUAGAGUUUCUUCUCUUUACUGUUCCCAGCUCACCUUGAAAAUUUUUGUUUCUUGUUAUGUGAAUCUAUGUUUCUGUGAGUUUAAGUUUAAUUUGAUUAAGUUUCAGUCAUUAUUGGCAGUUUGAUUAGAUUCAAAGAUUGGAUAUAGCUGAUUGAUCAUUGUUAAUUAACUUUAGUUAAGUUCUAGUUAGAGUAAGGGAGGCUGGGAUCAGUUAACCAUGGUUUGUAAUUUUCAAAUUAGUAGAAGGGUAAUUUGGGGAUAGAAAGGGUAGUAUUUGGAAUAAUGGUAAUUUUUAAAACAAGAAUGGUAGCUUAGGAAUUGUACAGCUAAAAGGGCAUCCUAGAAGCUCCUAAAAUAGGACUAUAGUGUAGAUUUCAGUAAAACUAGGGCAGUAACUUGAGGAACAAGUUAGAAGAUUAGGAGUUAAAGUGAAAAAUAAUCAGGGACUAAAAGAAAAAACCAAAGUCUGACCCUUUACCCUAGUGUUGCCUAUAAAAAGGCAUCUAAUGCCUUGUGAAAGGGGUCCUAUUCUUUCAGCCAUAAUUAGCUCCCAAAAUACUCUUGUUAUUCUAAUUCUUCUAGAUCUAAAGUAGAUAUCAAAUUCAAAGGAAAAAAAAAAAAAAUGAAAACAGUACUGUUCCAUUAGAAUUUUUGCGAUUCAAAUUCGAGGUUGAGGUCUAUUGGAGUUGUUGGAAAGUUGUUUCUGUUGCUGAACGUAUUCUAGAUAGCCUGGGUUCAAUUGUGAGUUUAUUUGGGUGGAUUCAAGUGCUUUUCCUGAUCCUGUCCUCCCUUGAACUUUUCUGGGCUGUCAAAUGCAUUUUUGGGUUAAAAUUCAGCUGUUGGUAUUCAAAUCUGUUUAACCGUUCGAUUGAUAUCACUAUUGCAUUGCUGUGGCUGACUAUUUCCUCUUUUCCUUGUGACUUUGAACUCAGGUACACAUUUGUUCGUCAUUGGCUUUGAAAUGAAAUGAAGUGUGGAUCGAGGCCUUUCUGCUACAUUCACUGUUUUAAUUGCUGACUGUUGUAUAGUCAACCACGUUUAAUUGUCAGAUUUGUUUGAGUUCAAUCAAAACUAUGUCUAAUUGAUACAAACCGCCUAGAAAGUGGACUGCGAUGACUUGAUUGUAUUAGUUUUGGACUGUUAAGUCAGUUUUUAGCUGGCAACCUUAAUUUGGUUUAGUUAGUGUUAUGAGUAGAGCAAUAGGCAAAGUAGUAUAGUUCAAUUGUUCUCUCAGCAAUUGUGAGGUUAACUCUUGUUGUGUAUUAGUUUUAAUAGUCCAAUGCUUACUUGAGUGUUAAUCAAACAAUGCUAAUUUGAACUAGCCUCCAAAAAGUCAGUAUGUUAAUGAAAUAAUAACGAAGCAUUAUUGUUGAUUGCUAAAGUCAAGCUCUAUUUCUAACUAGGCUGUUAACUGAUUAGGCUUAUGGGCUCAACAGUAUAAGUAAUCACUUGUAUAUUUGAAUGGUCUAACAAGGAUUUUAAAGUAAGUCAUUGUCAAACGUAGAUUGAUUUAUUUUCUUCAAAAAAUGAAACUCAUUCUCUGGUUGCCUCAAAAUUAGUUCGUAUGCUUUGGGAUUGAGUGGGCAAUCGGGAUUUGCUUUUGAGUGCUACAUUUUGCAUCUGUUGAGACUCGAUCAAUGUUUGUUUCCUUCAUAUUUGGAUCUAAGACCUCCGUAUCUCUGCUGUCCAGUACAAAGUUUUGGGCUCUUUAAGGCCCACGAUAUGAUUGCCUUCCAUUUUGUUAAUAAUAUUUGGGGUCCUGGUGUGAAUUGAUAGCCAAAUCCCUUAACAUGUGUUUGGAAAUUGGGCUAGGGCCCAACAUUACAGGAAUUGGGUUUUGCUUUGCGUGUCAUUUGUUUGUUGUUCCCAGGACUAAAUGAACCCUGAUUCAUUAUUUCUUGUGAGUGACACGUUCGGGCCUCGAAGUUAGGUAGCGAGUUUUAAACUAUCGUCUUUUUGUUUGGACCCGGACUUGAACUCGGAGCCCGAUUUUUUUUAUAAUAAUCGAUUAGGAUUUUUU